UACAGAGGGUGCAAGCGUUGUCCGGAAUUAUUGGGCGUAAAGAGCGUGUAGGCGGCCCGAUUAGUCCGCUGUGAAAGUCCAGGGCUCAACCCUGGAAUGCCGGUGGAUACUGUCGGGCUAGAGUCCGGAAGGGGCGAGUGGAAUUCCUGGUGUAGCGGUGAAAUGCGCAGAUAUCAGGAGGAACACCAAUGGCGAAGGCAGCUCGCUGGGACGUGACUGACGCUGAGACGCGAAAGCGUGGGGAGCAAACAGG
rnacentral:rRNA from 1 species